rnacentral:rRNA from 1 species
GACGAACGCUGGCGGCGUGCUUAACACAUGCAAGUCGAACGGAAAGGCCCUGCUUGCAGGGUACUCGAGUGGCGAACGGGUGAGUAACACGUGGGUGAUCUGCCCUGCACUUCGGGAUAAGCCUGGGAAACUGGGUCUAAUACCGGAUAGGAGCCAUUUUUAGUGUGAUGGUUGGAAAGUUUUUUCGGUGUAGGAUGAGCUCGCGGCCUAUCAGCUUGUUGGUGGGGUAAUGGCCUACCAAGGCGGCGACGGGUAGCCGGCCUGAGAGGGUGGACGGCCACAUUGGGACUGAGAUACGGCCCAGACUCCUACGGGAGGCAGCAGUGGGGAAUAUUGCACAAUGGGCGCAAGCCUGAUGCAGCGACGCCGCGUGGGGGAUGACGGCCUUCGGGUUGUACACUCCUUUCGCUAGGGACGAAGCUUUUUGUGACGGUACCUAGAUAAGAAGCACCGGCUAACUACGUG